UACGGGGGGGGCAAGCGUUGUUCGGAAUUACUGGGCGUAAAGGGCUCGUAGGCGGCGCACUAAGUCAUACGUGAAAUCCCUCGGCUUAACCGGGGAACUGCGUCUGAUACUGGAUGGCUUGAGAUUGGGAGAGGGAUGCGGAAUUCCCGGUGUAGUGGUGAAAUGCGUAGAUAUCGGGAGGAACACCAGUGGCGAAAGCGGCUACCUGGCCCAUUCUUGACGCUGAGGCGCGAAAGCUAGGGGAGCAAACAGG
rnacentral:rRNA from 1 species